CGUGAUGCAAGCCGAGCACAGGCGACAUAACGACAUAACCUCAUCGAAUCUUGUUACUUUAGGUUUCUUUAGGUCGUUGGUAAAAAGGAAAAGGAGGGAGAAGAGAGGAAUACGAGCGAACAAAUCUGCGAACGUGUUGGGAUGUGGCACGUAAAACGAAGUUAUUGCUAUUUCGACUGUUAUCGUUGGUUUCUUUAUCAGAGAAGAGAAAUAAUCUAACAUAAUUCCAAUUUUGUUUUUUUUUUUUUUUGGUGUUCAAGAUUGUGCCCGGAAGCUUGUACGAGAGGAGAAGAAGCCUGCAAAAGGAGUGCCUCUUUUUUUUUUGAAGACGACUGCAAUUGUUAGUGUAGCGUCAGUGAGAUACAGUGUGCAAAUCGGACUGUGAAACGUGUGAUACAUUGGUUAACAAACGAAAUAAGACAAGUUUCUCUAUGCGAUUGGUAUAACUAUGUAUGUUUCGUUGCGUAGGUGUGAGUUAAUCUUUUGCAUUCAGAGCCUUUUCCUUUGUCUUUUUUUUGUAGUAUGUAUCAACAACUGCAGAACGCAUUCUUAACUUUGUACAAUGUAAAUGCAAAGCCAUA